CGGAGAGAGGUAGCUUGCUACUGAUCUUAGCGGCGGACGGGUGAGUAAUGCUUAGGAAUCUGCCUAUUAGUGGGGGACAACAUUUCGAAAGGAAUGCUAAUACCGCAUACGUCCUACGGGAGAAAGCAGGGGAUCUUCGGACCUUGCGCUAAUAGAUGAGCCUAAGUCGGAUUAGCUAGUUGGUGGGGUAAAGGCCUACCAAGGCGACGAUCUGUAGCGGGUCUGAGAGGAUGAUCCGCCACACUGGGACUGAGACACGGCCCAGACUCCUACGGGAGGCAGCAGUGGGGAAUAUUGGACAAUGGGCGCAAGCCUGAUCCAGCCAUGCCGCGUGUGUGAAGAAGGCCUUAUGGUUGUAAAGCACUUUAAGCGAGGAGGAGGCUACUUUAGUUAAUACCUAGAGAUAGUGGACGUUACUCGCAGAAUAAGCACCGGCUAACUCUGUGCCAGCAGCCGCGGUAAUACAGAGGGUGCAAGCGUUAAUCGGAUUUACUGGGCGUAAAGCGCGCGUAGGCGGCUAAUUAAGUCAAAUGUGAAAUCCCCGAGCUUAACUUGGGAAUUGCAUUCGAUACUGGUUAGCUAGAGUGUGGGAGAGGAUGGUAGAAUUCCAGGUGUAGCGGUGAAAUGCGUAGAGAUCUGGAGGAAUACCGAUGGCGAAGGCAGCCAUCUGGCCUAACACUGACGCUGAGGUGCGAAAGCAUGGGGAGCAAACAGGAUUAGAUACCCUGGUAGUCCAUGCCGUAAACGAUGUCUACUAGCCGUUGGGGCCUUUGAGGCUUUAGUGGCGCAGCUAACGCGAUAAGUAGACCGCCUGGGGAGUACGGUCGCAAGACUAAAACUCAAAUGAAUUGACGGGGGCC
rnacentral:rRNA from 1 species